rnacentral:rRNA from 1 species
ACACCUACGGGUGGCAGCAGUAGGGAAUAUUGGUCAAUGGGCGAGGGCCUGAACCAGCCAUGCCGCGUGCAGGAAGACGGCCUUCUGGGUUGUAAACUGCUUUUGGCCGGGAACAAAAAGCCCCUGCGGGGGAAAUUGAGUGUACCGGCAGAAUAAGCACCGGCUAACUCCGUGCCAGCAGCCGCGGUAAUACGGAGGGUGCAAGCGUUGUCCGGAUUUAUUGGGUUUAAAGGGUGCGUAGGCGGGCCAAUAAGUCAGUGGUGAAAGCCCACAGCUCAACUGUGGAACCGCCAUUGAUACUGUUGGCCUUGAGUACCGUUGGGGCAGGCGGAAUUUAUGGUGUAGCGGUGAAAUGCAUAGAUACCAUAAAGAACACCGAUAGCGUAGGCAGCUUGCUAAACGGUAACUGACGCUGAGGCACGAAAGCAUGGGGAGCGAACAGGAUUAGAUACCCUGGUAGUCCAUGCCGUAAACGAUGAUUACCCGAUGUGCGCGA